rnacentral:rRNA from 1 species
UACGAAGGUCCCGAGCGUUAUCCGGAUUUAUUGGGUUUAAAGGGUGCGUAGGCGGGUUAUUAAGUCAGUGGUGAAAGCCUUCAGCUUAACUGAAGAAUUGCCAUUGAUACUGAUGAUCUUGAGUAUGAUUGAGGUGGGCGGAAUGUGUCAUGUAGCGGUGAAAUGCUUAGAUAUGACACAGAACACCGAUUGCGAAGGCAGCUCACUAAGUCAUAACUGACGCUGAUGCACGAAAGCGUGGGGAGCAAACAGG